GUGGGUCAUGUAUUUUCUCUAAAGUAGCACUGUGUUCAAUAGUUAUUUAACACAAAGUACGGGGGAGGGGGAUAUUAAUUAGUUUAAUACAGAUUUUAUUUCAAUUUAAGGAAUUAUUUUCACACAGUUUUAUUAAUAAAAUAAUUAUAAAAUUUUAAACUGUUGAAAAUCUUAAAAAAUAUAAAACUUACCAAAAAGGGAUAGACCUGGCAAGUCUCCUUACCAACUUGAAUUCUAAUACUGCUCAAAUCUGUGAUAAUAACAGGACAG
rnacentral:lncRNA from 1 species